rnacentral:rRNA from 1 species
GAAGACGCCACGAAUCCUAUACAUGCAAGUCAAGCGGACAAAAGAGAAAGCCCGCUCCCGUACAAUGUUAGCGGCGGACGGGUGAGUAACACGUAAGCAACCUCCCCACAAGACUGGGAUAACUCCGAGAAACCGGAGCUAAUACCGCACAAUUCCUUGAACCACAUAGUUCUAGGAUGAAAGACGGUUUCGGCCGUCACCUACAGAUGGACCCGCGGCGCAUUAACUAGUUACCGACAUAACCACUCACCAAGGAGACAAUGCACAACAGACCUGAAAGGGUGAUCACCCACACCGGGACUGAAACACGACCCAAAAUCCUAAGAGAGGCAGCAGUAAGAAACCCCCCGCAAUGGACGAAAGUCUGACGAAGCAACGCACCGUAUAGUAACGAAAGUUUUCGGAUCGUAAAGCUCUGUUGUUAGAGAAAAACAAAUCCAAAAACAACAAGGCUCACCACCGCCUGACGGGUACCCACACCCAAAAACCACCUCGGACUAAAUACAUGCCACCAACCCGCAGCAAUCAAAGAGGAGGGGGCAAAGCGGUUGUCCGGAAAUCAUUGGAGGCGUAAAGGGAGCCCCCCACGCGGUUUCUAAAAUCUGAUGUGAAAAGCCCCCCGGCCCAAAGCCGGGGAAGGCCUCAUUGGAAACCGGGAAACUUGGGUCCAAAAAGGAGAAAAGGGGAACUACAACUGUACCGUGGGAAAUGCGUAGAGACGUGGAGAAACACCACCGGCGCAAACGAAAAUCUGGAAUCCGUAACUCACUCUCAGGAACAAAAACGUGGGGAGCGAAAAAGAGGCUUAAAUACCCCGUGAGUGGUCCCCGGCCCCAUAAAACCAAGAGUGAUAAAAGUGAAGCGGGUCUGCCCCCCCCUAAGUGCUGCAAAAAAACGCAAUUAAACUACCCCCCCCUGGGGGAAGACCCGUCCCCACGCGGAAAGACUAAAACCAAGGGAUUUGGGGCCCGCGCACACCAAAGGAAGCAAACCUUGUUUUAUAUUUCGAAGCAACGCAAAACCACCAACCAAGUCUUUGAAAACCCCCUAACAACCUAAGGGGGGGGGUUUCCCUUUCGGGGACACAUUACCGGGCGGUGCAUGGUGGUGCUCAGCCCGUGUGUUGGGAUGUUGGGUUAAUUCCGACAAAAAGGACAACCCUUGACUGUAGAGACAAAAAAUUAGCUAAGCACUUUAAGUUGACUGCCGAUAAAAAAUCGGAGGAAGAUAGGAAGAAGGUCAAACCAUCAAACCCCUUUUUACUUGGGCUACACAGGGGUUACAAUGGAUAUAACAAAGGGAGGCGAGUUUGCAAAAUACAUCCAAUUCCAAAAAGCAGUUUUCACAUCAGAAAGCCCUCUGCAACUCGCUCACACAAAACAGAAAUGGCUAAUAUAUCGGAAUCGCACACGGCUACACUGGGGAAAAUUAUAG